UGCAAGGUUAAAACACUAAAGCCGGCGGACCAUAGAACUCCCCGGAAACUAAACCAAAAAAAAAAGAUCGGAAAUCUAAACAAACGUGUGACACACGAACAACUAAACCAUGCACAAAAUCCUAAAACUCUUUCAACAAAUCAUCAUAAGAUAGAAAAGACAAAGACUUAGCAAUCUAUGAUUAGUCAGAUUUUUGCUAUGAAGUAAGCAAGAGAGCUCGCAACGCAAUAGACACAAGAAGAGCAUGGACUUCAUCUGAACCACAUGUUCACAAUGACAACACCCGAACCAUCAUGACCUCAUGUGAACCACUUGUUCACGAUGACAAUCACCAAACCACUACACCUAAACCAAGGCAAAAACCCGUGAAGAAAUAACACCCGAGAUAAGCCCCAACUCAACCGCACCUUUAUCUGGAGGCCUCCAUGCCUCAACCUCGUUAUAUUGCUUCACUAGACGAAUCCAUAGAAGAAAAUCAGAGACUAAAAGCAUACCAGGAAGAACACUUAUUCAAGGACCGAAAGAGAGACCUCUUCGAAACUGGGAGAUAGAGAGGUAACCUGAAACAAUCUUCAUCUCAAGGACCGUGACCUUCACCUGCUCACCACACAUCACCACGAUACUACUACACCAUUGCUGAAUCAAAGAUCAAUUAAGGCAAACUCUAAAAUCCAUGAGAGAUUAACCGGACUCAACUCCUCUAAACCUGUCACAU
rnacentral:lncRNA from 1 species